rnacentral:miRNA from 1 species
CAGGUUUGGACAUGUUGCUACGCAAUGCCGGUCAAAAGCGCGUUGUUUUAUCUGUGCGAAAUCUCACUCUGGUAUUGACUAUAACAGUUUAUCUCCA